UUAGAGGAAGUAAAAGUCGUAUACCGAGGUCUCCGUUGGUGAACCAGCGGAGGGAUCAUUACCGAGUUUACAACUCCCAAACCCCUGUGAACAUACCUUAAUGUUGCCUCGGCGGAUCAGCCCGCGCCCCGUAAAACGGGACGGCCCGCCAGAGGACCCAAACUCUAAUGUUUCUUAUUGUAACUUCUGAGUAAAACAAACAAAUAAAUCAAAACUUUCAACAACGGAUCUCUUGGUUCUGGCAUCGAUGAAGAACGCAGCAAAAUGCGAUAAGUAAUGUGAAUUGCAGAAUUCAGUGAAUCAUCGAAUCUUUGAACGCACAUUGCGCCCGCUGGUAUUCCGGCGGGCAUGCCUGUUCGAGCGUCAUUUCAACCCUCAAGCCCCCGGGUUUGGUGUUGGGGAUCGGCUCUGCCCUUCUGGGCCGUGCCGCCCCCGAAAUACAUUGGCGGUCUCGCUGCAGCCUCCAUUGCGUAGUAGCUAACACCUCGCAACUGGAACGCGGCGCGGCCAUGCCGUAAAACCCCAACUUCUGAAUGUUGACCUCGGAUCAGGUAGGAAUCCCCCGCUGAACUUAAGCAUAUC
rnacentral:rRNA from 1 species